UCACACAAGAGACCCAAAUUAAUCGUUUACGGCGUAAAGAGUGGACCCACGCUAUCACAUUAAUUAAGGCCAAAACGUAGCUGAGCUGUCAUAAGCUUAAGGUACAUCUAAAGCCUCCCUAAAGACGGCCUUAAUUCAUACGACCAACUAAACUCCACGAAAGCCAGGGUACAAACUGGGAUUAGAUACCCCACUAUGCCUGGCCCUAAAUCUCGAUGCUUACGUAACUAAAGUAUCCGCCUGGGGACUACGAGCACAAACGCUUAAAACUCUAAGGACUUGGCGGUGCCCCAUACCCACCUAGAGGAGCCUGUUCUAUAAUCGAUAACCCACGAUACACCCGACCACUUCUUGCCAAAACAGCCUACAUACCGCCGUCGCCAGCUCACCUCCCCUGAAAGUACCGCAGUGAGCACAAUCGCCCUAACCCCGCUAACAAGACAGGUCAAGGUAUAGCCUAUGGAGUGGAAGUAAUGGGCUACAUUUUCUAACUUAGAACAUCUCACGAAAGGGGGCAUGAAACAGCCCCCAGAAGGCGGAUUUAGCAGUAAAGUGGGACAAUAUAAGCCCCCUUUAAGCCGGCUCUGAGGCACGUACAUACCGCCCGUCACCCUCCUCACAAGCCCCAAACAUUAAUAAAUAAUAUGCCUACUUGCUAAAGAUGAGGUAAGUCGUAACAAGGUAAGUGUACCGG
rnacentral:rRNA from 1 species